UAGUGAGUGGGGCAUUUCAAGGCAUGUACAUCUGCCAAAGCACUGGUAGCAUAGAAGAGCCACAAAAAUGCAUCAGGACCCAUCUCAGACAUCCAUUCCUUUCCAUUUAGCAAAGAGGCCCCAAACAACUCUCCAAUAGUUGAGAAGGUCACUGACUAUAAAACGCUGUAUUGUCCUGGGCUGGGAUCGCUGCAACACUUUCUCCUGCUGGUGGCAGCUCUGCUUUCUAAGUGGAAUGAAUUGAAGAUAUAUGGAAACUUAAGAUAAAUAAUCAUAAUAAUACAAAAAUGAAGUUAAGCAUAAUCUUCUCCCUGCCCAAGCCCUCCCCAUUCAAAACUCAGUCACCCAUUUUGUCAGAACCCCUUCUUCACCAUCAUUAAAACUUAAAAUACUUUUAUUUGAUAAGAAAAAUUAUAUUAUAGUUUUCUUAAUAAAAAACAAAAUAGAACAAAAAAACUUCUCCAGUCAACAGCAAAGCACAAGACAGUAAGGCUCCUCCUCCCACAUCACUGCAGGACACAGUAUGAGCACAUGCACAGAUCUAUGCUUUACAGUGCCUAGAGGGGGAAAACAGCACUUGACACAGAAGUAAUCCUCUGGGCAGCUGAAAUUUUAUGAUCCCAGCCAGCACUUAUUAGGAGACCACUCUUCCUUGCCUAGACCCCCCCCCCCCCCUCAACUUCCUCUUGCUGUAUAAACAAACACAGCCAGUGUAGCUGCAGGGAGGAACUGUGGUGCUGGGGUACAGAGGAAACAAUGACUGUAGCCACUACUGCAGAUACACUGGAGCUUCAAUAUCUUAAGAACAACUCACUGACUCGGAAUGUCAAUAUUUCUGUCUUUAAAACACAAUCAAACCAUUCUUUUGUUUCUAACACCAAAAAAUUUCCACGUCCUGUCAAAAAUAGCUUAUGUCAUUAUGUGUAUGUAUAUACAUCUUAGUUCAGCAAAACACUAUUUUGGCAAUAGAUUUUUUUAUAGUAAGAGCUCUAGCAAGUCUCCCCUUUCCCUCUCCCAUGUGAUUGAUUUACAGUUGGUAUUUUUGCAUGUUUGGUUUAAGGUGUUUACAAGCUGUUUGUGCUGAUGAUGCUGAGCUGCAAAGAGUUCAGGGACCAACGCUGUUCAAAACAGGAUGCCACAACAUUUUAUCUGCUCUGCUGCAGGUGGAUUUACCUCCCUGAACACAGGGGAUGGGGCUUUUGCUUUUCAACAACAAAAAUACAAAAUACUCUCUCCUUUGUUCUGGAGAAAGCCAGAACUUUAAAUGUGCUGUUGCAUUCACACUGUGACUGCAUUAGCUAGGAUAGUCAGCCAACAAUGCUUUUACCAGAUGAUACGGUCAGACACACCAGGUGAAUUUCUCCCACCGCUGGAGUCAAUCACAUUGCCAAUCUCGUCCAUAGAGGAGGAUUUCUCUUGGAUGUCAUUUUUAUCCAGAGUUUAAGCUGGGUUUCUUUUCAGUUUGCUUCAUCUGCCAAUCUGAUUAAUGAAACCUGUUUGCCUUUAAACAGAUUUGUCUACGCAUUUUCAGCAUUUAGUGCAUGAGGAGGGGCGAGGGGAAGCCAGCGCACAGAAGAAUACAGUGCCUAAUUGGCAUAGUUUUUAGAUUUUUGUUUUCCUAAAAAAAUAGAGAUUAUAUUGCUACAGCUAACGAUACAUGUAAGAGAGCAAGAGCUCCACUUUUUCUUUUUUCCUCCAUUUUUCCCUCUGGUGUGCAAAAGUAAGCUCCCAAACGUCAUCUGACCAAAACGAGUGGUAUCAAAAAUGGAAAAGGUAACUACUACAAAUUCAGUAAGGUAGCACAGACUUUUUUCUUUCCUUUUUUUCCUCUCUCUCUCUCUUUUUUUUUUUUUUUUUUUUUUUUUAAGUGUUCGAAGUGCUAGAAUUUGCAAGAAAACAGGCACUAAUUUCAUUGUCAUCAUCAUGAUCGGGUAAGAGUUAGUGUCCAAAGGAAGAUCAGCCACAAGUAAGGGAGAGGGAAGAUAAGGAAGGUACAGCGUGCUCAGGGAUCUGUGGCAUUGAUGAUCGUUUUAUCUGGAGGCGCCCAUCCUCUAUACCAGCUGCAGUAACCUUCCACCCUCUGGAUGCAGGCAUAGUGCUUCGCUUGGUGUCCUGAGUGGCCGAAGUUGGAGAGCAUGUCUGUCCAAAUGCACUCAUUCUUGGAGGUGGCAAAGCAGGGCAAAUAGUAGCAGGGCCGAAUCUUGCAUCCACAGCCCAGAUGAUAACGAUGAUUCAGUCCUUUACGCUGGGACAGAGUCAGUCGGUCCCAUUUCUCAUACCAAUUGCACAGGCCAGUGUAAACCUUCCCUUCGUACACGCGGCCUGUAAUCAGAUACUGGUAUUUGUUGACCUCCAGUUUCACACCACAAAGACUCUCUGAGGCUUCUGUGUAGAUGUACUGAACGUGUGGCAUUAUCUGGAAGCCCCUGUACAUCUUCAUCUGCUUGACUGUGUAUCGCAUUGUUCCAAAUGGUCCAUCUUUCAUGAGCUUCUUCCCCACAACUUUAGCACGGAUCACGAUGUCGGAGUUGCAGAACGCGUCCUGCGGGUGGAUGGGGACGCAAGUGCACGCCUCCGCCACCAGGUCCCGCAGGCUCCAGCUGCACAGGAACACGGCGAGGAAGCCGAGCCACGCCGUCAUGCUGCCUGCCCCGGGGUGCGCUUCGAGCUGCAGCCGCUGUUCUGUUCGCCUAACUCGAGCCUCGCCUGCUCGCUGCUCGCUCGCUCCCUCCUCACACCGCCUCUCUCUCGGCCUCAGCAGCGCAGCCCUCGCUCGGCGGCACGGAGCAAGCCCGAGUGAGCAGCGCUACAGGACCGAGCGGGGCUGAAGCGAGCCGAGCUGUGCCGCGCUGCCCGGUGCGCCGAGUUAUAGCCUCGAUCGCGCCCUCUCGGGCUCCGGGGGCGCCGCCGCAGCCGACCAAUAGGAGCCCCGCAUUACCUCAUCGGCGGGAGAGGCCAGCGGGACGGGGCGGGGCGGUGGCCGCGGCUUCAGCGCCUUAUACGGAAUAGAGUGGGGAGCGCCGCGCGCGGGCGGGCGUUGGGUCGGUGGCGCAGGUAGCGGCCCCUGUGGAGAAGUACCCCCGAGGAGAAGUCCCUUGUCUCUCUGAGAAGUCCUCGGCUCGGCGGCGGCGGCUGCGGCUCGUCAAAAUGAAAGCACUCGUGUCCCUGAGUUAUGCACGAGUGCCUGUCCCCGCACAGCCCCGUCCGCCCCGGUCAGGCUCUGCCUCCCCUCACGAAGGGAGAGGAAAGAGGCAUCUCAGACGUCCGUGGAGUUGCUGUUUGCUCGCAGAGCUUGGGGUGUUUCUCUCACAGCCAUCUCAUUUGGCUGUAAACUGACUUUUGGCUGCGGGAGAUGGAAGGAAACGGCAGUGCGAAGGGUUUUCAGGAAGCGAGCGGAAAGCGGCACCUCACCGCUUUUCCUCCUUCAGUAAGCAGCGAAAGGAGGAUGGGGGAAAGGACAGGUCCUAGCUGCACCCCUUGCCAGGAUGGCGUCCUGUGGCCCUUCAUCCUGCCUAAGUGCCCCUUCUCCUGCCUCCCCACCACCCGCCCUUCUCGGGAUGCCUGUCAGCAAGGGCUCGAGCUGGGGAAAGCAGUGUUACAUCUACCCAGACGCUCCCAGCGUUUAAUCUCAAAGUGUAUUUUAGCAGAGCAGCUUUAGAGGAAUUUAUAGAAAAGUCCUGCUUGUUUUGUUUUCCCUUAUCCCCUUUUGGAACAGUACAUUUCUAUCAGCCGGAGAAAUGUAAAUGUUAUAGUAGAGCUGGGACGGUGAGGAAGGAGAUUGCCAGCUGCAGGAUGCAGACAGCCUUAUUAUCCUGCAGAGGGGACUGAGGGGUGAUUAAUCACUGUAUCAAACCAGUGUAUGUAAUGUCAGAGUACUUUACAUGGGGUUUACAAGAUUUAAGCAUGUCUAGUUAUAAAUGAUGCUGGUAUUAAAGGCCAGGGACCAGCUGUCCUAAAUUUCUAAAUAGUCAGCUAAGUCUGUAGAUUUACAGUUGUGCUCCAUCUGGGUGAACCACAGCCUGCCUACACCUUUUCUUUAAUCAUACCACCCCUAUAAAAUUAAAGCAUCCAGUCUUGUGGAAACACAGGCUCUCAUUUAGAGCAUAGGUAUACAAAAGCUUAAAGAUGGGUGUUGCUAGUAGCUAUCAAAAUGACAAAGCAAACAGCGGAGGUCAUAGAAUC
rnacentral:lncRNA from 1 species